UACGGGGCUUAUGUCUUGUAUUGGAAUGAUGGGAAUUUAAACCUCUUCCAGAGUAUCAAUUGGAGGGCAAGUCUGGUGCCAGCAGCCGCGGUAAUUCCAGCUCCAAUAGCGUAUAUUAAAAUUGUUGCAGUUAAAAAGCUCGUAGUUGAAUUUCUGCUGCAUUGCAUUUUCUCCUAUACGAGUUUUUGCAUUGUGGCUUAUUUCGGUUAUAAAAUUUAUUUUUAUUUCCGGAUGUUUACUUUGAGAAAAUUAGAGUGCUCAAAGCAGGCUUUUGCCUUGAAUAGUUUAGCAUGGAAUAAUAAAGUAGGACUUUGGUUCUAUUUUGUUGGUUUUAGGUACCAAAGUAAUGGUUAAUAGGAACAGUUGGG
rnacentral:rRNA from 1 species